rnacentral:rRNA from 1 species
GACGAACGCUGGCGGCGUGCUUAACACAUGCAAGUCGAACGGAAAGGCCCUGCUUUUGUGGGGUGCUCGAGUGGCGAACGGGUGAGUAACAAGUGAGUAACCUGCCCUUGACUUUGGGAUAACUUCAGGAAACUGGGGCUAAUACCGGAUAGGAGCUCCUGCUGCAUGGUGGGGGUUGGAAAGUUUCGGCGGUUGGGGAUGGACUCGCGGCUUAUCAGCUUGUUGGUGGGGUAGUGGCUUACCAAGGCUUUGACGGGUAGCCGGCCUGAGAGGGUGACCGGCCACAUGGGGACUGAGAUACGGCCCAGACUCCUACGGGAGGCAGCAGUGGGGAAUAUUGCACAAUGGGCGGAAGCCUGAUGCAGCAACGCCGCGUGCGGGAUGACGGCCUUCGGGUUGUAAACCGCUUUCGCCUGUGACGAAGCGUGAGUGACGGUAAUGGGUAAAGAAGCACCGGCUAACUACGUG